rnacentral:rRNA from 1 species
AUUAUCACACGUAUUAUAUUUUAAAAAAUUAAAUAAAUUCUCGUCCGAUCACCGAAGUCAAGCAGCAUCGGGCGCGGUCAGUACUUGGGAGGGUGACCACCUGGGAACACCGCGUGCUGUUGGCA